GGGGCUAUAGCUCAGCUGGGAGAGCGUCCCGAUUGAAAUCGGGAAGGUCAGGAAGUUUUAUUCCUUAGCUCCA
rnacentral:tRNA from 1 species